AGAACGAACGCUGGCGGCAUGCCUAAUACAUGCAAGUCGAACGAACACUUCGGUGUUAGUGGCGCACGGGUGCGUAACGCGUGGGAAUCUGCCCUUGGGUUCGGAAUAACAGUUGGAAACGACUGCUAAUACCGGAUGAUAUCGAAAGAUCAAAGAUUUAUCGCCCAGGGAUGAGCCCGCGUAGGAUUAGCUAGUUGGUGAGGUAAAGGCUCACCAAGGCGACGAUCCUUAGCUGGUCUGAGAGGAUGAUCAGCCACACUGGGACUGAGACACGGCCCAGACUCCGAGGGAGCAGCGAGGUAAGGAAUUAGUA
rnacentral:rRNA from 1 species